ensembl:rRNA 5S_rRNA 5S ribosomal RNA
GUCUAUGACCAUACCACCCUGAACACACCAGAUCUCAUCUGAUCCUGGAAGCUGAGCAUGGUCUGGCCUGGUUAAUACUUGGAUGGGAGAACAGGUAAACUGCCUUGCCUGGACU